rnacentral:lncRNA from 1 species
UGCCUACCAGUUGCAAAGCUGGAAUCCUGCAAAAGGACCUUGAACAUUGGGCCUGGUUGAUCCCUCUGUGUUUUGUGUCAAGUUCAGCCUUUGUGGCUGCUUGUUUUCUGUUCUUUUCUUUUGUUGUUUGCUGCAUGAGUUGAGUCUGUUGGUCUGCUCUGAUCUAUGUUUGCUUACUCUGCUUGUUUUCUUUUACUCUGUGUGUUUGAAUCCUGCUUUGUUCUGUUGUAUUGUG